rnacentral:lncRNA from 1 species
UUUUUUUUUUUUUCUUUUUUUUUUAAUGUCCACACCUACGGUGUAUGGACGUUCCCAGGCCAGGGGUCAAAUCAAAGCUGCUGACCUACGACACAGCCACAGCAACUAGGGAUCUAAACCGCAUCUACAAUUUAUACUGCAGCUUCUGGCAAUGCCAGAUCCUUAGCCCACUGAGCCAGGCCAGGGAUCGAAUCCACAUCCUCAUGGAUACUAGUCAGGUUCUUAAUCUACUGAGCCGCAGAGAAAACUCCAUGGUUGUGUUUCAAAGUUAUAUGGCUGUAAGUUUGUGUGUACAAGCAAGAAUGUGGCUGAGAAAUGGACACCAUGGGCUUGCUGCCUCUGAGAGUCGGUUUGCAUGAGCUGACAAGUAUAUGACAUGCAUGAGCGGUUAUAUUUUGGAAUGCAGGAAGGUUGGGGAGAUACCCAAGAAGAUGAGGAGAUGAGAGUGAUUUCAAGGACAUGGACUCUUCCAAAACACAGCCAGAAAGUCUGGUUUUAAGACAAUUGAAAAAGAGGUUAAGGAGAAAAGCUGAAGGCUAUGUUGAUAAUAACCAUCAGCCUCUGGGCACCCAUGAUGCCUCUUCAAGACCUCAGUAACAAAGCUUCAGAGAUUUGAGAAAAGGCCAUUGGGCUACCAUGUCUCCGACCUCCAACACAGCUUUGGGUGGCACCAGCAGAGAGGCCGUCCCAGAGAGGGCAGCAGCCACGCAGGUGGAGCUGAGGUUGGAGCAGAAGAGAGGUAAGUGCUCCAGCACAGACCAUCACCCAGGACCCCUGGAAAAUACUAGGACAUGCCCUGAGGGGGAGCUGAAAUGCAGGGUGAGCAGGUGGGGGCUGGGAUUCGUCAGAGUUUUGUGUCUUAAUCUAAGGCAGAAUCUCAGCUUUAGCACAAUUGACAGUUGGGGACAGAUUAUUCCUUGUUGUUGGAGCCAUCCUGUGCAUUAUAGGAUGUUUAGUAGCAUUCCUAGCCUCCACUCCCUAGAUGCCAGUAGUAACCCCUCCCCAGUCAUGACCAAAAAUAUUUCUAGAUAUUGUCAAACUUUCCCUGGGGGCAAAAAUCUCCCUAGGCACAGAGCCACUGAUCUAAUGGAAAAGCAACUACAAUCAUAGAUUGGUGAAAAUCACCACAUGCAAACAGCUAAUUUUUGUUGAGUCUUUACAGUACCCUGGGCCCUCUCCUAAAUGCUUCAGGUUUUAAACUUAGGACAUGUUCCUGACUCCAUGAGGUGGGUUCUGUACUUCAUUUUGCAGAUGAAGAGACUGAGAGCACAGAGGGGAUAACUCUUCUAAGCUCACACUGAUAAGACACAGCAGAACUGGACUAGGAACCCAUGUGUUCUGGCUUCGGAGCCCUUCCAAACAACAUGGUAACAAUUGUGGAUUUUCUGUGUGACUACCAUCUUUCUUUUCCUUUGUGGCUGGUUGUUCUUCUUGUUGUACUUUUCAAAUAUUUUCCAACAAAAGAAAUCACUUUAAUCAAAAUGACUAGGCAAGUAGUUAAGAAGACCCAUGGUGCAGGACUCCUGGCCUGAGCCAUUUUGAGUCAUUUUGCUGGCCUCAGACAAGCAUAUCUGAGCAAGAGCCCUGGUGGGUCUCCUUGUCCACAAUGCCAGGAAAGGAUCAAGCCAGCUAAUGUGAUUUUAUCUUAUUUUUUAUUUUUUUACUUUUAUUUUUUGUUUUUUUUUUUAGGGCCACACCCGUGGCAUAUGGAGGUUCCCAGGCUAGGGGUCAAAUUGGAGCUACAGCCACUGGCCUAUGCCACAGCCACAGCACAGAAUACAAGCCGCAUCAACGACCCACACCACAGCUCAUGGCAAUGUCGGAUCCUUAACCCCCUGAGAGAGGCCAGGAUCAAACCACAAGUCAUAGUUACUAGUUGGAUUUGUUUCCACUGCGGGCCAUGAUGGGAACUCCUGGUCAAUGUGAUUUUAAAUUAAGACUGAAAAACAACAGGUGAAAGAGAGACUUGAGAGAGUAUUGCCUCGUGGUUUGUUGAGUCUUUCUCAUCUUUCUCUCCUAACUGCACAGUGAGCGGAUUCAUGUGUAGCCUGCACUCCUGGCCUAUCACCUGCAGGUAGUGAUCUCUUGGGAUGGGUGCUGGCGCUCUUCCUGGGUGGGAGGGCUGUCAGACUGUGGGUUCACAGGCUGGAGGUGGAGAUUCCGGGAAACAAAGGGCUGAGGCCACAGACCAGGGCUGCAUCCCAAGCAUCAAGCUGAGGCAGGCGUUUGGGUAGAAAUUCUCGCUGUGGUAGCCCAGCAUUUAGCAGCACCUGCCUGUCACUCACCACUUACUCUAGUCCCUUAAUGACACUUCCCUUGUCAUUUGCCUGGUGUUGCUUUUAUCUUAAGUGAAUUUAACAAUGGUGAAAGGUGCCAGUGCAAGGUCCCCAGAGAGGAGCUUUGCUGAAAGAGCUGUUGGAAUGAAACUUUCUCCCAUCAAAUCACAUCUGAUGCCCCACUCCUGGUGGGUAAGUAAUCCCGUGGCUUUGGGGGGUGCCUGAAGGCCUGGUUGAGCCAUCCCAGCUUUUCCCACAGCUCAGCAGGCACCCUUAAAGGAAGCCAGCUGCAUGCAGGUCUGCAAAAUGGGGAGACAUUUUGCCAACACUUUUUCUUUAAUUCCCACACCCAGGAGUAUUUCAGAGGGAAUUUAAUCUCUAUGUUUCUGGUUCAUUUACACUUAACUUGUCACAGGAUUCUUUUCCAAGAGCCAUUUGGUGCCCAAGAGAACUUGUGAGUCUUUUAAACAUACAUUCAUCUUUAAAAGAUUUUUUUUUUUAAUUAGCCAGGUUCAAAGCAAUGUCUGAACUACACAUAAAUAUGAAACAGUUUUAAAUUUCAAAUCCAGUUAAGUUUCUGAGUGGUUCUGGGAAGCAGCCCAUCCACCAAUAAGUCAAUGACAGGGGAACGCAAGUAUCAUUUUGCCCUUUCAGGGUUGAGAAUUGUCAUUGGGGUGUGAAAUAAGAGAGCAGGAAAAGUAGAAAUAGAGGAAGCAAGAAGAGGAAGAGAGAGGUUGAAGGCAUAAUAACUUUUCUGCCUUGUUCAACCUCUUACUCUACUAGGUUCUGCGCUAAACACUUUGUACGUCAGUUCUUAACAACUCUAUGGCAACUUAAAAAAAUUUUUUUAUUCUAGUUGAUUUACAAUGUUCUGUCAAUUUCUGCUGUACAGCAAAGUGACCCAGUUAAACAUAUACACACUUUCUUUUUCUCACAUUAUCCUCCGUCAUGUUCCAUCACGUGUUGAUUUUUGUCCGUCUCAUUGUACAGCCUACACUUCCGUGGAAAGAGCUUCCUUUCACUUGCAAUUAUAGGGCACUGUCUCCUACACGCCCAUAAAACUCACCUUGAGGUAGAGGGGGGAAGGACUAAAUGUUCUGCCCUUUGGGUGAAGCCUGACUUUACUUCUGGAGAGAACUGGGGACAAAAAGUUUCCUAGGCACUGAGGUCAGUUAUUUCUGGGGGAACUUGUAUUUUUAAGACAAAAUUCCUUUGUAUGUUCUGCAGAUUGAAAAAUAAGAAAUUGUGUGUGUGUGUGUGUGUGUGUCUUGGCAGGAUAUCUGUGGGAGCCAAGCACCAUGUCCACCUCUACCAGGACCCUGGUUUACUCCUCUCAGUUGAACAGCACUUUGCUUGAAGCCUUACAUCCCACUCCGUUUAGUUCAUGAAGUGCUGAGGACCUCUGAUGGCAGGACUGUUGUACUUGAUAUUGAAUAUACCACAGUGAGGAAGAAACAAACACGUGCAUUUAUUUUGGUGGCUUUUCCUCAGUAUCACUGUCUUUGGAGCAUUUUACAUAGAUGAUCUCAGAUCUCCCCAAGGGGCAAGGGUACUCAUAGGUUCCCUGGUCCUUCUUUUCAUCUAUUAUUUAAAUUUGCAUCACACUCACUUUUAUUUCAAGAAAGAAGUUUUGACUAAAUCAGUAAGCGUAGGAUUCCCCAAAGAGAUGAUGGAAAGUGCUAAUAUAGAGGCAACGAAGGUGCGUAAGGAUCAGAAAAGAUUUGACCACAAGCCCAGCCACUCUGGAGAAAAGCAGCUUGCAGGGCCAUGCUUGAGGACAGAGAAAUUUGAGGGGAUGGGGAAUUUGAAAUGGAGCCAAGACAAGGGCUUUCUCUGUGUUCUCAAGUGUCAUAAAUUAGUUUUGGAUGCAAAGGCAUGGAAGAUGACAUAUCUCUACUCUCUUCUAGGAGCUGAUGUUGGCAAUAGGUAUAUCGAGGAUUGGAGAAGGAAAGGAGAGGGAAAGAUGUCAGUUUCAAGAUAGAUGAGACUUGACCAAUCUUCCUCUACUGUUUAGCUACAGUCUACCCCAUGCAAGGCUGCAUUUUGCCAUAACCAGGCUUACACUGCCUUUUCCUGUCACUUGGGCUUGUGUUGCCACAACUGCCACUCCAAAACCUCUGAAAGCUUCCCUUUACCUACAGCCUGAGCUCCAAACUUGCUCCCUCAGCCUCAAAGUUCUUUUUCACUUUUUAACUCUCAACAGUUCCUCAAACAGGGACACAAGCACUGCAUUCUAUUAAAGCUGAUGCAUUUGUCAGUAGGGAGAUCCAUUGUCCUGGUUUUCCCAGGGUAUAGGGUGUUCCAAGGACAUGGGAUUAUCAGUGCUAGAACCAGGAAAGUCCUGGGCUCACUGGAUGAGUAAGUCACUCUAUCUAAGUCACUCUUGGAUAAGUAAAUUUUGAGUUGUUUGGCUCUGAACCUCUCACACUUCUCCACCUGCUUGGGAAUGCUACCUCUUUCCAUCUGCUAUUCAAAAUUUAUUCAUCUGCAUAGAUCCAUCUUGAAUUCUAGCUCCCAGAUGAAUCUUUCCCAGAUCACCUCCAUGACAAACCAUUUCUCUUUCCUUUGAAUCCCAGUAGCUCUGGUUUCCUGGGUGAUCUGUAGGAAAGCGGUAGAGUGGUUGGGAACAUGGAUUUAGGAGGGAGGGAAGUAUACGUCCCACAUCUCAUGUGAACAGUUGCUAACUGAAUGGAGUUAUUUCUCCUCUUCCUGUCUCAGUUUCUCGGGUUUUGGGUGUGUUUGCACAAAUACCCAAUUAUAAUACUUAGCUCUUUGGGAGGUUGUGAAGGUUGAGUGAAAUAAUAUAUGUUGCACCUGUGUCAUAGGUAGUCUAUUAAUAUAUUUUUAAUAUAUUUUAAUAUACUUUAAAUAAAUAUUUAAUAAUUCUCUUUGGUUCCUUCAUUCAAUGAGUAUUUGAUGAGUGCCUUCUAUGUACCUGGUCCUAUUCCAUGAAACAGACAAUAUCUCUGCCCUAAGGAGCUUAGAUGCUAGUGGG